CAAGAGGAUAUCUUACUAUUAUUACAACCCAAUGUAAUAUGAAUAUUCGUGUAUAGCGUAGCUUCUCUUAAUUAGAGGCAGUGAUAAUAUCAUGUAGGCGCAGAAAUGUAAGAACCUCUGG
rnacentral:ncRNA from 1 species